rnacentral:lncRNA from 1 species
AGUUCAAGCUGCAGCCUUUGCUGAUGACGGUCAGGAGGCCAACUGCGCCUGGGGAGCAGCGGGAUCCGGGGAUGGGGCUGCCCUGUGUGCUCACCUGCCUGACCUGCCCCAGGCCUCCUCCUGUCCCACCCUGCCUAAUGCUCUAGAGUCCCCCUGGGCUGGCCUCAGGAUUGCAAGCAGUGCGAGGGCCUGGUCUCGGCCCUGGUCUCAGCCCUAUCCAGAUGUCCGAGGCAGAUGGACCACCCGCUGAGCGUCAGAAAUGGGAACUCUGGAACAGCCAGCGUUAACAUCAACACAGGCCUUCAGUCUGAUGAGAAACAUUUACCAUCUAUUGUCUCGGAAGCCUGCUACCUGGAGGCUUCAUCUGAUGAUAAAGCCUUGGUCUCCACAACCCCGUAUAACCCAGACAUUCCUUUCUAUUGAUAACUCUUGCAAGCGAUUGCCAACCAGAAGAUGUUUAAAUCCACCUAUAACCUGGAAGCCCCCAGUUCCAGCUGCCCACCUUUCUGGACUAAACCAAUGUAUAUCUUCAAUAUAUUUGAUUGAUGUCUCAUGUCUCCCUAAAAUGGGUACCAUCAAGCUGUGCACUGACCACCUUGGGCACAUGUUCUCAGGGUCUCCUGGGGGCUGUGUCACAGGCCAUGGU